rnacentral:RNase_P_RNA from 1 species
UAAGCAGAUCGCCUUAUCGUGCAGACAGUAUUGUCUGUAAGGAAAGUCCGAACACCAUAGUGCAACAUAGUGGCUAACAGCCACCAGUCGUGAGGCUAGGAAAAGUGCAACAGAAAGUAUGUACAGGUAAUGCUGUAGUGAAAUCAGGUAAACUCUAUGUGGUGCAAUGUCAUGUAAACCAAUGUUUGAGCGUUGCACGCGCGAUGUUGGAGGGUAGGCAGCUAAAGUUUGUUGGUAACAAUAAACGUAGAUAAAUGAUAAGGGCUCUUUUGAGUACAGAAUUCGGCUUAUAGAUCUGCUUUUUUU